rnacentral:ncRNA from 2 species
GGCACGGAUCGUAACUGGCGCGAAAAAGUGGUUACCACUGGGAAGCGAUCUGGUCCCCCUUGAUGCGUCGCACGCCUGGGCGUUGGGG